rnacentral:rRNA from 1 species
UGGGGAAUUUUGGACAAUGGGCGAAAGCCUGAUCCAGCAAUGCCGCGUGUGUGAAGAAGGCCUUCGGGUUGUAAAGCACUUUUGUCCGGAAAGAAAUCCUUGGCUCUAAUACAGUCGGGGGAUGACGGUACCGGAAGAAUAAGCACCGGCUAACUACGUGCCAGCAGCCGCGGUAAUACGUAGGGUGCAAGCGUUAAUCGGAAUUACUGGGCGUAAAGCGUGCGCAGGCGGUUUGCUAAGACCGAUGUGAAAUCCCCGGGCUCAACCUGGGAACUGCAUUGGUGACUGGCAGGCUAGAGUAUGGCAGAGGGGGGUAGAAUUCCACGUGUAGCAGUGAAAUGCGUAGAGAUGUGGAGGAAUACCGAUGGCGAAGGCAGCCCCCUGGGCCAAUACUGACGCUCAUGCACGAAAGCGUGGGGAGCAAACAGGAUUAGAUACCCUGGUAGUCCACGCCCUAAACGAUGUCAACUAGUUGUUGGGGAUUCAUUUUCCUUAGUAACGUAGCUAACGCGUGAAGUUGACCGCCUGGGGAGUACGGUCGCAAGAUUAAAACUUAAAUGAAUUGACGGGG